UACGUAGGGGGCAAGCGUUGUCCGGAAUUAUUGGGCGUAAAGCGCGCGCAGGCGGUCAGUUAAGUUGGGUGUUUAAGCCCGGGGCUCAACCCCGGUACGCAUCCAAAACUGGUUGACUUGAGUGUAGGAGAGGAAAGUGGAAUUCCACGUGUAGCGGUGAAAUGCGUAGAGAUGUGGAGGAACACCAGUGGCGAAGGCGGCAUCCUGGCCCUGACCUGACGCUGAGGCGCGAUAGCGUGGGGAGCAAACGGG
rnacentral:rRNA from 1 species